CGAAGAUCAGAUGACGAGGGAAGUUACCCUGGGGAGACCAGUCCUAAGAGGUUAUCUGUACACUUUGCCUUCUAUGACUAUCUUCUGAGGGUUCUUUCUCGGAUGGUGUUUCUGGAACACAGGCCCUACUCACCCGACAGUUGUCACAAACCCUAUAUCCUACCCACCUCCGGGUUCUGAAAUAGUGUUGUAAUCACAACUUCUCUUUCUUCUCUUUGGGCCCCAGGAGCCCGGGACUGUGGAGCAGCCUGAGUGAAAGGGCAGCUGAGGCCAGAGGACUGGUCUUGGUCUGUGUUCCCAACUCCGAUGAACUGGCCCUUGCUGCCUGCCCAGUUCCCCUUCCUCUCCAGACAGACUGACUGCUACAUCCUUGACUUGUCCCAGGGAAAGUGAAGCGGAACCUGUCCUCUGACUCAGGACUCCGAGUGUGUCCCACCCCCACAGCCCAGCCUGGUGGGUGGGAGCAGUGGCGUCUGCUCCUGUCAGUGCGGAGGAGCCUGCCUGGCUGGGGAGGCCGCCGCUGGCUGUUCUUCCUCCCUGGUUGAAAUCGCUGGGCCCUCCAUCCUCUUCUCCAAGAAGCACCUCCCUGGGUCUGAAGGAGAUCUCCUGAGGGCGGUUUGAUGUAUACAUUUUUGUAUUUCAAGGCCUGGGGAGGGGAGGGAAGCUCUCUCCAGGUUUCCUCCCGUUGGCGUUUGCAUUGGAGACAGCCACCGUCCCAAGAUACAGGGCCCCCAGAAAUGCUCUGGUGGCAAGUCUGAGUUAACAAGUGAACACUCCCAGCCAGGCUGCCACUUGUGUGGUGAGCACCAGGGGAAUGUAGGUGUGGGCAGGUUUUUGUGGUCUCAGCCUAUGUGAGUAGGAGCCCCGGGAGGGGUGGAAAAGACUUGGGGGCAGCCUGGCAAAGUGGUGAAACUCUGUAGUCCCACAUACAAAUUCUAACCCCUCACGCUGCCACUUACAGUACUUAGUGAUCACGGGCACGUCCCCUACGUCUCUGAGCCUCAGUUUUCACUUGGAGAAAAUGGGCAUCAUGGUUUCAACUCAUGGGUGUGUAGUGAGGAUUAAAUGAGAGACUGUCUAUAGUGUGCCCAGUCCGUUUCCUUUUCUCUAAAGCAGGCAUAACAGUAGGGUCUGACAGGAUUCAAUUAGAUAAUUAAUGAAGUGUGAUUGACACCUGUAAAUAUUAACCAUUAAUACUAUUAACACCUCCCCUGUUUUGCUGGAGGUCGCAACCUGAUAGUUCCCUGCUCUUGCUGCUUCCUCACCCUGUUCCGUUGCCAGGACAUGACUUUUCUCAUCUUUUUAGACAGAAGACUCGCAGAAAGAAGAAUGAUCCCCAGAGCCCUGGCGGGUGUGAUGUGGCUCAGUUCGUUAGAGUAUUGUCCCUCCACACCGGAAGGUCUCAGGAUGAGUGGCAGCUCGAAGCCAAGUGCUUCCCAGCCAGGGAAAGAAAUGGAAGUUUCCCUUUUUCCUGUGUCUGUCUCCCCCACCCUCCCUUUUGCGGGGGAGCUGAAUGUGCUCACUCUGGAGGGACCGAGGGAAGCCCGGACGGACUCUAAUGCAAUUUUGCCUCCAUGAAGCUGGCAGCUGGGAACCACUUUCCCUCGGCUUGCCCUCUGCUGGGGAAACUCCAUGACAGAGACGAGGCAGCUGGCAGGGGGAGGCCUUCUGAGUUUGAGGACGCUACUGCUGCUGCUGCUGCUGCAGUGCCAAGCCGGCCCACACAGGACCCCACAGGACUGCGCUGCCACGGAGACUGAGGCUGAUGCCCAUUUGGUUCCUGGAGCUCCUAGAAGGCGAUGCCUUGGGACCUGGGGGAGGAUCUCUUUUUCAGGGACACGGUAGCAAAUACAAAGGAAGACAGGAUUUAUUAGAAACCUUGUGGAUUGGGAAUCCGAAGACCUGGGCUCUAGCCCUCAAGCCGCCACUCCAUGGCCAUGUGAUUUGGGGUCAGGUUGCUUAAGUUCUUUGCCUAAAUUUUAGUUUCCCCAUUGGUAAAAUGAGUGGUCUACUACCUCCCUCAUAGGAUGGUGGGAAGAAUUAAUGUAUGGGCCCUAGCCGGUUUGGCUCAGUGGAUAGAGCAACGGCCUGCGGACUCAAAGGUCCCAGGUUCAAUUCUGG